UGUAUAAUGGGUCAGCGACUUAUAUUCUGUAGCAAGGUUAACCGAAUAGGGGAGCCGAAGGGAAACCGAGUCUUAACUGGGCGUUAAGUUGCAGGGUAUAGACCCGAAACCCGGUGAUCUAGCCAUGGGCAGGUUGAAGGUUGGGUAACACUAACUGGAGGACCGAACCGACUAAUGUUGAAAAAUUAGCGGAUGACUUGUGGCUGGGGGUGAAAGGCCAAUCAAACCGGGAGAUAGCUGGUUCUCCCCGAAAGCUAUUUAGGUAGCGCCUCGUGAAUUCAUCUCCGGGGGUAGAGCACUGUUUCGGCAAGGGGGUCAUCCCGACUUACCAACCCGAUGCAAACUGCGAAUACCGGAGAAUGUUAUCACGGGAGACACACGGCGGGUGCUAACGUCCGUCGUGAAGAGGGAAACAACCCAGACCGCCAGCUAAGGUCCCAAAGUCAUGGUUAAGUGGGAAACGAUGUGGGAAGGCCCAGACAGCCAGGAUGUUGGCUUAGAAGCAGCCAUCAUUUAAAGAAAGCGUAAUAGCUCACUGGUCGAGUCGGCCUGCGCGGAAGAUGUAACGGGGCUAAACCAUGCACCGAAGCUGCGGCAGCGACACUAUGUGUUGUUGGGUAGGGGAGCGUUCUGUAAGCCUGUGAAGGUGGCCUGUGAGGGUUGCUGGAGGUAUCAGAAGUGCGAAUGCUGACAUAAGUAACGAUAAAGCGGGUGAAAAGCCCGCUCGCCGGAAGACCAAGGGUUCCUGUCCAACGUUAAUCGGGGCAGGGUGAGUCGACCCCUAAGGCGAGGCCGAAAGGCGUAGUCGAUGGGAAACAGGUUAAUAUUCCUGUACUUGGUGUUACUGCGAAGGGGGGACGGAGAAGGCUAUGUUGGCCGGGCGACGGUUGUCCCGGUUUAAGCGUGUAGGCUGGUUUUCCAGGCAAAUCCGGAAAACCAAGGCUGAGGCGUGAUGACGAGGCACUACGGUGCUGAAGCGACAAAUGCCCUGCUUCCAGGAAAAGCCUCUAAGCAUCAGGUAACAUCAAAUCGUACCCCAAACCGACACAGGUGGUCAGGUAGAGAAUACCAAGGCGCUUGAGAGAACUCGGGUGAAGGAACUAGGCAAAAUGGUGCCGUAACUUCGGGAGAAGGCACGCUGAUAUGUAGGUGAAGCGACUUGCUCGUGGAGCUGAAAUCAGUCGAAGAUACCAGCUGGCUGCAACUGUUUAUUAAAAACACAGCACUGUGCAAACACGAAAGUGGACGUAUACGGUGUGACGCCUGCCCGGUGCCGGAAGGUUAAUUGAUGGGGUUAGCGGUAACGCGAAGCUCUUGAUCGAAGCCCCGGUAAACGGCGGCCGUAACUAUAACGGUCCUAAGGUAGCGAAAUUCCUUGUCGGGUAAGUUCCGACCUGCACGAAUGGCGUAAUGAUGGCCAGGCUGUCUCCACCCGAGACUCAGUGAAAUUGAACUCGCUGUGAAGAUGCAGUGUACCCGCGGCAAGACGGAAAGACCCCGUGAACCUUUACUAUAGCUUGACACUGAACAUUGAGCCUUGAUGUGUAGGAUAGGUGGGAGGCUUUGAAGUGUGGACGCCAGUCUGCAUGGAGCCGACCUUGAAAUACCACCCUUUAAUGUUUGAUGUUCUAACGUUGGCCCGUAAUCCGGGUUGCGGACAGUGUCUGGUGGGUAGUUUGACUGGGGCGGUCUCCUCCUAAAGAGUAACGGAGGAGCACGAAGGUUGGCUAAUCCUGGUCGGACAUCAGGAGGUUAGUGCAAUGGCAUAAGCCAGCUUGACUGCGAGCGUGACGGCGCGAGCAGGUGCGAAAGCAGGUCAUAGUGAUCCGGUGGUUCUGAAUGGAAGGGCCAUCGCUCAACGGAUAAAAGGUACUCCGGGGAUAACAGGCUGAUACCGCCCAAGAGUUCAUAUCGACGGCGGUGUUUGGCACCUCGAUGUCGGCUCAUCACAUCCUGGGGCUGAAGUAGGUCCCAAGGGUAUGGCUGUUCGCCAUUUAAAGUGGUACGCGAGCUGGGUUUAGAACGUCGUGAGACAGUUCGGUCCCUAUCUGCCGUGGGCGCUGGAGAACUGAGGGGGGCUGCUCCUAGUACGAGAGGACCGGAGUGGACGCAUCACUGGUGUUCGGGUUGUCAUGCCAAUGGCACUGCCCGGUAGCUAAAUGCGGAAGAGAUAAGUGCUGAAAGCAUCUAAGCACGAAACUUGCCCCGAGAUGAGUUCUCCCUGAGACUUAGAGUCUCCUGAAGGAACGUUGAAGACGACGACGUUGAUAGGCCGGGUGUGUAAGCGCAGCGAUGCGUUGAGCUAACCGGUACUAAUGAACCGUGAGG
rnacentral:rRNA from 1 species